UUAAACAACGAUCCCUUGUCUGGGGUGAUGUGGAAGGUGCAACCGGAGUCCAGCACCCACUUGUCCUCAGUAGACACGGUGCUUGCUGUUAGAAUCAUUCUUCAGUUACUUGCAAUGGUAAGGAGAAGAACACCAGUGAGUUUUACAACCAUCUAUGCUUCACCCUUCUUGUAACAACUCUCCAUUGCACACACAAUGGGCAGCAUUCUUUCUCUUACACUCGGUUUUGGUGAUGAACUAAGAAUACCUCUUGUGAACCUGAAACAUCACUCAAACUCCAGCAAAGAUUAAGACAUAAUUGCAUUGGGAUCAAUCCUUGACUUCAUCAAGUUUGAUCACCAAUGUCUCAAACUUUAUUACACUAGAUGUCAAGUUCUCAUCUAUGCAAGCAACCAU
rnacentral:lncRNA from 1 species